rnacentral:tRNA from 1 species
UGGGUUGUGGCUCAAGUGGUAGAGCACUCACCUAGCACACAUGAGGCACUGAGUUCAAUCCUCAGCACCACAU